rnacentral:rRNA from 1 species
GACGAACGCUGGCGGCGUGCCUAAUACAUGCAAGUCGAGCGGACUUUCAAGAAGCUUGCUUUUUGAAAGUUAGCGGCGGACGGGUGAGUAACACGUGGGCAACCUGCCUGCAAGACGGGGAUAACUCCGGGAAACCGGGGCUAAUACCGGAUAAUAUCUUCCUUCGCAUGAAGGAAGGUUGAAAGGCGGCGCAAGCUGCCGCUUGCAGAUGGGCCCGCGGCGCAUUAGCUAGUUGGUGAGGUAACGGCUCACCAAGGCGACGAUGCGUAGCCGACCUGAGAGGGUGAUCGCCCACACUGGGACUGAGACACGGCCCAGACUCCUACGGGAGGCAGCAGUAGGGAAUCUUCCGCAAUGGACGAAAGUCUGACGGAGCAACGCCGCGUGAGCGAAGAAGGUCUUCGGAUCGUAAAGCUCUGUUGUCAGGGAAGAACAAGUACCGUUCGAACAGGGCGGUACCUUGACGGUACCUGACCAGAAAGCCACGGCUAACUACGUG